rnacentral:rRNA from 1 species
UACGGAGGGUGCGAGCGUUGUCCGGAAUCACUGGGCGUAAAGGGCGCGUAGGCGGCCUGAUAAGUAGGGGGUGAAAUCCUGCGGCUUAACCGCAGGGCUGCCUUCUAAACUGUCGGGCUCGAGCACAGUAGAGGCAGGUGGAAUUCCCGGUGUAGCGGUGGAAUGCGUAGAGAUCAGGAAGAACACCGAUGGCGAAGGCAGGUCUCUGGGCCACUACUGACGCUGAGAAGCGAAAGCAUGGGGAGCGAACAGG